CGCACCUGCUCCGCCUCCGCCAGGCGGACCUCCGGGUUACAGCGGCGGGCCGGAACAGGACAUCCUCCUGGACGCCGAUCAGUUUGAGUCGGAGAGCAAUGGGGCACGCGAGUUCGCGCUCUCCCUGACUCCAGAGUCUGAGGCAGAGGUGUUUCAUGUGCACGUAUGUCUGUGUGCUACAUACGUGCCUUGUGCCCACAGAGGUCAGAAGACAGCAGAGAGCUGGCCGGAGACUUCCUUCUGAGGGAAGAACUGAGCCCCAGCUGCCUAGCCGGAUGGUUGGAGGUUGAAGAGGAAGGAGGGAACUCUGAAGUCUUUGACCUGAGCAACUGGUCACCCAUUUUUGCUCUUACACGGGAGGGGGACCAUGGGUGGAGUGGCUUUUUGUCCCUUGCCCAUAGGCAGCGCCAGCUCCUCCAGGCUUUUGGCCCACCUUCCAGCUGGGAAGUUUGGAAUGACAUUAUAGCAGAAGGGGACAGGAACGAAAAAGUGUUCACUGGUUGUCCCCUGCCUGUCUCUUAAGUGAGGCUGUACCUCCUUCCCUUCCAAGCAGAACAAUUUACACCCAGGGAGUUACAAAGAACAGAGAGGGGCUGGUGGAAGGUGUGUGGGCUGUGGCCUGCAGGAAUCAUUUCUAAGGCCGCUUAGGAGAUUAUCUUGAGAAAAUUGUCCUGUGAGUGAUUUGUGGCCUGGUGGGGUGGCUGCCCUUGAGUGCUUCCUGUGGGUUGGAAAUAUUUUGGGAUCACUCCUUCAUUAGUGGGCCAGUCAAUAAGCCUGUCUUUGUACCUGCCUACUUCUGGUCACCACCCUAGAUCCCAAGAGGUGGACAGAGGAGAGAGACCAGAGCUGAUAGGCACCAACUAAAAGAACACAGUCCCUGAAGCCUUCCAUGGCUACAGAGGUCAGCUCUAAGGCCAGAAAACUUCAGGUCAAAUUCUGGCUUUGGUGUUUAUGAGCUGUGUGACCCCAGCAAGUCGUGCAACUUCUCUGUUCCUCAGCCCACACAAAGAGGCAAUAAAGGUCCCUGUCUGAGGGUUCCCCUGAAAAUGAAGCAAGACGACCCCGACAAGGGACUACCCUGUCUUACCUUCUUGUUGGGUGCCAGAGAUCUGCCGUAGGACUGAGUCAGAGUGACAACCCUGAUUCAAGAGAAUGGUGGCUCCUGUCACAAGCACAGCCGCAGAAAUGCAGCCACUAAGCAGGUCCAGUUCCCUGAGGCUGCCCUGCAGGCAAAAGAAAAGGUGGAUUCAAACCCAGGACAGACCGGAUGUGUAAUGUCUCCAUUCUUCUUUCCCUCCGUCACUCCCACGUUUCCACUUCCAGACUCUGAGUCUGCCUGGCAUGUCUCUCCCAAGCUUUGAGAUCAGCCCCUAGCAGAGAGCAGGCCUCCUGUCUCCCUGUCCACAGAACCCAGAUCUGGUGAGUGAGCUCACUGAAGCAAGAUGGCUUCCAGCUUUUCUUCCUGCCCUCGGUGGUGACUGAGACUCAUUCCAUUUAAGAGAGCUCCACUUUACAAUCUGAUGUGAUUGGUAGGUCAGCUCCAAGGGGAGAGGAGAGUUUCAGGAAAUGGAGUCUGUGAAGGCUAACUGCCUUUGUUUAAAAACAAAACUAGCAAAAAUGUUUCUCAGAGGACAGGCCUCUCAGGGUCAGCUGGGCCUUGGUGCCCUGGGCAGGGGCAGUGACAGAGUUGACAGCCUACUACUCCCAGGGGUCACCAGCACCCCUCUACCUGAUCUCUUGCUUUCCUUGGGACAGAAGAACUAUAACUUCUUGUCUCUGGCCUCAGCGACCUCCAAGCUCUUCCCCGACAAUGCCACUAUUUUCUGAGACCCCUUGGUGUGACAUUUUGGGGAUUGGCGCUUUCUUUUUUUUUUUUUUUUUUUUUUUCCAGAGCUGGGGACCGAACCAGGGCCUUGUGCUUGCUAGGCAAGCGCUCUACCACUGAGCUAAAUCCCCAACCCCAGGAUUGGCGCUUUCUAACACGCCCCUGCCUCUCCUUACUAAGGACUCUUUCCUGUGGACUCUACAACACAGAAAUAGUCAGGGCUGCACUAUGGGUUCAGGGUUUAGAACCACAACUGGGCCCUAUUUAUAGCACACCACACCAGAGAGGAGAUGUUAGCGCACUGGUCCGCGUUGUGGGGGUGGCUCACCCUGGAGGCAGCUGCACUUGAUGUGCAGACCUCCUUGGGGCACAAGUGAGCCCUCAGGUGUGGAGUACAGGGACAGGGUCAGCUGGAGAAAAAGGCUCCUGCAUUGGGCAAGCCUUCGGUAAUUAAGCUGCUGGUGUGAUUCUGACUGUGAGUCAAGGAGCCAUGCCUGAGGGAAAAGAGCCAAGACGCAUGUUGGCACAAGUGGGUGGGGUCAGGACUGGGUACCCACAGAUUCCCUUACAAAGGGUCCUGUUCUGUUUGGCCUGGGACCAGUUUUAAAAUAUGUGUUGGCUGUGUAAGGUGUCAUGUGCCUUUAAUCCCAGAACCAAGCCAGCCGAGACAGGUAGAUCUCUCUGAAUUUGAAGCUAGCCUGGUCUACAUAGGGAGGAGCUUCAAGACACCCAGAGCCACACAACCAGACUCUGUCUCAAAAGACAAACAAGCGGGCUGGAGAGAUGGCUCAGCGGUUAAGAGCACUGACUGCUCUUCCAGAGGUCCUGAGUUCAAUUCCCAACAACCACAUGGUGGCUCACAACUCAUCUGUCAUGAGAUCUGAUGCCCUCUUCUGGUGUGUCUGAAAACAGUUACAGCAUACUCACUUAAAAUAAGUCUUUAAAAAAAAAAAAAAAAGACAAGCAAGCAUAGUCAGUAUUUGCAAAACAUUGGGGUGUUUCCCCACAAGAUUAGAAUGCCUGGCUUCGCUCGCUUAUUUUUGUUUUGGUUCAUUUGUGGAACUGUGGAUAGAAUCCAGGGCCACUUGUCUGCUAAACCAGACCAAGACUGUGGAACCCGCAGAGCUACGCCCCUCCCACCUGGGCUGCCUUUAUUUGUUUCAGUCACAGCUGUGGAGGCUUCCCGCAGCUCCAGACAGAGGGAGCACCCAGCCCCUAGCAGGGUGCAGCCCUCCACAGGGCAGAGUUCCUGCAGGCAGGAACUGCUGACAAAUUAGGCUUGGCUCCCAACCCACACCAAGCAACGGUAGAAGGCGCGUGGCUCCUGGCUGCUGUCCCUCGGGGUCAGGUCAGGAGUCUUCUCUGCCCAUUGGUGUUUAUCUCUCUCUGUGCUUGGUUUCCAAGAGGUCUUUUUCUAUUUAAUAAGUGGGUCGGACAGUGAUGGCAGAAGCAGGCAGAUCGCUGUGAAUUUGAGACCAGCCUGGUCUACAAAGCAAGUUUCAGGACAACCCGAACUGUUAGACAGAGAAACCCUGUCUUGAAAAAAACAAACAAACAAAAAACAAAAAAGGGAGAGAAAAGAAAGAAAGAAGAGGGCUGGAGAGAUGGCUCAGUGGUUAAGAGCACCGACUGCUCUUCCAAAGGUCCUGAGUUCAAAUCCCAGCAACCACAUGGUGGCUUACAACCAUCUGUAAUGAGAUCUGAUGCCCUCUUCUGGUGUGUCUGAACAGCUACAUUGUACUUACAUAUAAUAAAUGAAUAAAUAUUUAAAAAAAAAAGAAA